rnacentral:rRNA from 1 species
UACGGGGGGGGCAAGCGUUGUUCGGAAUUACUGGGCGUAAAGGGCGCGCAGGCGGCUCUUCAAGUCAGGCGUGAAAGCCCCGGGCUUAACCUGGGAAUUGCGCUUGGGACUGGAGGGCUUGAGUACGGGAGAGGAGAGUGGAAUUCCCAGUGUAGAGGUGAAAUUCGUAGAUAUUGGGAAGAACACCGGUGGCGAAGGCGGCUCUCUGGACCGUAACUGACGCUGAGGCGCGAAAGCGUGGGGAGCAAACAGG